rnacentral:lncRNA from 1 species
UCUGGAACAUGUCCUUGAGCGCCACGAUCAUAUCGUGUGCCUCAUGAUUUGUUUCGAACUGCAUCUGCAGCUCGGGUUCCAUGCAAGCAAGCAUAAGGCAGCUUACCUCAAGAGUAGCAUCAAAUGCCUUCUUGUAAGCAGCCUUAACGGCAGCAGAUGCAUCAUCAGCAGGUACUGGUGGUAGUGGGGUGUCUAGAACAUCUUCCUUUUUAUCAGCCCUGAGAACAAUUCUCAGGUUACGGAUCCAAUCCGAGUAGUUUGUUCCAUUCAACUUGUCCUUCUCAAGGACCGAACGCAAAGCAAACGAGGUGGUGGUGUUGCUAGGUGCCAUUUAAUCUACAACAAAAGUAAUGCAAAAUACACUAAGACAAACGUAUCCAUGAUAGAGCAAAUUACAAUAAACUAUUUUAACAGAAUCUACUCCCACUAAAAUCAAUAUCCCUCUAUUGAAACUUAAUGAUUCAGGAUCCACAACUAACAAGUCCACUAGUGAGCUUUAGCAUCACCGCUAGCAAACGAGGUAGAUCGGUAAGCAACUUUUGCUAAUCAUAUCACAUAUGACUCCUGUUGUUGGGUGACAUCUCUAUGUCUCGGCACCCAACCUUUAUGCCCCAAGGUCCUUAACCGUUAAGAUAACCUUGUUAAGCAAACCAACCCUUAUGCGUGUAAGUGUCCAACACAAACCCGUCUUGUGGCACCCUAAUUUCA